ensembl:misc_RNA 7SK 7SK RNA
UGAUGUGAAAGUGAUCUGGCUGUGACAUUUGUCACCCCAUUGUCAGGUUUGAUUCAGUUGAUCUGUCUGGCUAGGCAGGUGUCUCCUUCCUUCCUCACUACUCCAGAUGCAUCCCUCCAGAAGCUGCAUGCUAGGUCGAAAAGGACAACCUUCCCCAACAGAGGAGGACUGAUCUUUGGUCCAGAUUAUGGGGGUAGCUGUGUUCCCUUGCUAUAACUUUCAAACAAGCUCUCAAGGUCCAUUUUUAGGAGCAUGUAGGGUAGUUAAGGUUACAAGCCUCCAGACACAUCCAAAAGAGAUGCUGCAUAUGGAAGUCUGCCUUUCCUU